GACGUAGGGCGCGAGCGUUGUCCGGAUUUAUUGGGCGUAAAGAGCUCGUAGGCGGCUUGUCGCGUCGGCUGUGAAAACCCGCGGCUCAACUGUGGGCGGGCAGCUGAUACGGGCAGGCUGGAGUUCGGUAGGGGAGACUGGAAUUCCUGGUGUAGCGGUGAAAUGCGCAGAUAUCAGGAAGAACACCCGUGGCGAAGGCGGCUCUCUGGGACGGUACUGACGCUGAGGCGCGAAAGCGUGGGGAGCGAACAGG
rnacentral:rRNA from 1 species